rnacentral:rRNA from 1 species
GACGAACGCUGGCGGCGGGCUUAACACAUGCAAGUCGAACGGAAACGCCCUGCUUUUGUGGGGUGCUCGAGUGGCGAACGGGGGAGUAACACGUGAGUAACCUGCCCUUGUCUUUGGGAUAACUUCAGGAAACGGGGGCUAAUACCGGAUAGGAGCCCCUGCUCGGUGGAGGGGGGUGGAAAUUUGCGGCGGGUGGGGCUGGACUCGCGGCUGAUCGGCUUGUUGGUUGGGGAGGGGCUUGCCAAGGGAUGGGACGGUAGCCGGCCGGAGAGGGUGGACGGCGACCCUGGGACUGCGAUACGGCCCAGAGUCCUACGGGAGGCAGCAGUGGGAAAUAUGGUCCAAUGGGCGGAAGUCUGAUGCAGAAGCCUCGCGGUCGUGAUGACGGUCUUCGGGUUGUGAACCGCUGUCGGCUGUGACGACGCGUGAGUGACGGUAAUGAGUGAAGAAGCACCGGCUAACUACGUG